CCCAUAUUUAUUUUACAUAACAUAUUUACAUGAUAUGCAUCACUUUGAGACAAUUGUCUCAUUCAAAAGCUUUAGCUUUCAGCGAACCAGUUGCUUCACUCUGCAGGCUAAAAAGCAGGUACAUAUAAUUUUCUUUUUCAUGUUUACCUGCUGCUUCUUUGUUAUGCUUUCCACACCUACUCCAGGCGAUACACUGAUCUAAACAAUCAGUGUCCUAUCC